CUUUUUUCUUUUUACUGUUUUACUCGUACUCCUCUGUACUCAAGCCGUCAAACGUUGCAUUAACAAGGUUAUAAUUAUUGUGUACUUGUAUUUGUGUACAGCCAUUCACAUAGGGAAUUUCGAGGGCCAGCUGUCGCUGAUGAUCCCUCCCGAAAGUGGAAGAUGUCUCGACGGCCUCGGGAGGAAACAGGGCAUUCCACUGGGCGUUGAACGUACAGUACACCGCGUUAGCUAAUACCGACCACGGUGUCCACGCCUACUCUAGAGCUGGCAUCCCGCGGAAUGAGGUCAUUAAUUUUCCCACCGUUUUGUACGCAUCGACCAAAACGUUCGGAGACGAAAUUUCCAUAAAGCCGGUAAUUCCUGCAGGGAAACGCAAAAAACAACUCCGUUUUUUGGGUUUCCCUGCGCCUUGCGCCAGACCCUUUGGAGGCCCCGAACGUAUUGGACCGUUCAAGGAAUUUUUUAGCGGAUCGGACAUUAGGAUGUCUGGAUGCUAUGGAUGGCUGCACGCACCAGGCCGUAGACGGGAUACCAGAGCAUUGCAGUGUAACGCACUACCCAAGUGAUUUCUUGGAG